GGGCACCGCAGUGGAGCUGGAAUGUUAGAUGGGGGCCCCUGCGGUGGGCAGAAUAACGGCCACUGCAAAGAUGCCAAAUCUUAUCCCCAGAGCUUCCGCAGAGAUCCUGCAGAUGUGAUUCGAGUCUUCCAGCAACACCACCUCACUCUGCUUUGCACAAUCACUCCACCUCCCCACAUGUUGCGGAGAUUCUCCUGGGGAUUCACACUCUUCCUACUUGCAGCUGUGACACGGGAAACAUCCUCCACCAGGUCUUCUCUCACAGUGUGGCCUCUGCGCACAGGUUAUCCACCUGUAGACCUGGACGGGACCCUCGAGGCUCCCUACUCUGACCAUCUGGUUUUAUAGUUGAGGAACCAGAAGCCGAGGCAGGUAACUUGGUGCAGCCUAAAGGCCUCCAUCCCUCCAGUGCCCACAACUUAGGUGCCCACGACAACAACACUGGCCUACCGCAAAGACCCAGCCCAGAGGAACAAGGUGCCACUGUAUGUCUGAAAAGGGGGCCCUCGGCCUCACUGGGGAGCACCUUCCUCCAUCAGGGUCUCGACGGUGAAGAAGCAGGCUGUUUCCAUCUUCAGGAUACAAGCCAUCUGCGCAUAGGAAGAGGGUCCAGAGGCUCAUCUGGAAUCCCUCCUCACUCACUGGACGGAGGACCUGACCCCGUUCCCAUCAUUGGUUCUGAAUCCAUCAGCCCAGCAAGACAGGUGUCUCCAGCAAGUUCUGUAAAAUACAACCAUAGCCGGGCCUGGAGUCAGCCCCCAAUAAAGGGUUCACCAUGGAGUCAAAGCUUCCUUCACAUUGGGAAGAGCCUGAUGAUGCCGCCUUGGUGCCACCCGUGCAGGCCGUGUUCCACUUCUGUCAUGGGCUGGAGAGAAAAGAGCGACAUGGACCUGUUCAUGAAAGGCUCUUCCCGCAACACCAAGCCUGGGGCCUGCAGGGCCGCCAUGAAGAAAGGUGGCUCCUGCUUGGCAGAGAGAAAAGGGGAGGGAGGGCAGGUGAGUCACCAGCAUUGGGCCCCUCAGCCCAGGCUGCCAAGGCAGCCCAGUGGAACCUGUCCCCAUACAGCAUGUUUUUAGUUUGAAUGGUUUUACAGUGUUGGAGCUGUAACUUUACAAAUUUGCUUUGCCUUCAUAACUCUGUAAGAGCUAUAAGCAAACGUAGCUUUAAUCAGC
rnacentral:lncRNA from 1 species